CUGCCUCAUACAGGGGGAUAACAGUUAGAAAUGACUGCUAAUACCGCAUAAGCGCACAGGACUGCAUGGUCCAGUGUGAAAAACUCCGGUGGUAUGAGAUGGACCCGCGUCUGAUUAGCUAGUUGGUGGGGUAACGGCCUACCAAGGCGACGAUCAGUAGCCGACCUGAGAGGGUGACCGGCCACAUUGGGACUGAGACACGGCCCAAACUCCUACGGGAGGCAGCAGUGGGGAAUAUUGCACAAUGGGGGAAACCCUGAUGCAGCGACGCCGCGUGAGUGAAGAAGUAUUUCGGUAUGUAAAGCUCUAUCAGCAGGGAAGAAAAUGACGGUACCUGACUAAGAAGCCCCGGCUAACUACGUGCCAGCAGCCGCGGUAAUACGUAGGGGGCAAGCGUUAUUCGGAUUUACUGGGUGUAAAGGGAGCGUAGACGGCGCGGCAAGUCUGAAGUGAAAGCCCGGGGCUUAACCCCGGGACUGCUUUGGAAACUGCCAUGCUGGAGUGCUGGAGAGGUAAGUGGAAUUCCUAGUGUAGCGGUGAAAUGCGUAGAUAUUAGGAGGAACACCAGUGGCGAAGGCGGCUUACUGGACAGUAACUGACGUUGAGGCUCGAAGGCGUGGGGAGCAAACAGGAUUAGAUACCCUGGUAGUCCACGCGGUAAACGAUGAAUACUAGGUGUCGGGGAGCAAAGCUUUUCGGUGCCGGCGCAAACGCAAUAA
rnacentral:rRNA from 1 species